AGAAUUCUAAUCCUCGGUAUGGCAUCAAUCCCCAGUUUUGGAUGCGCUCCACUCCUGGCCACUUGGUUUAUCCCUAAAUGAGGAUGGAAUUGACCACCUAACUUGGACGGGACAUCCCUCAGGCUCCCCACGCAGGUACUUUUAUUGAGCUAUCAUAGGAUUGCGGAAGGGGUUUGUGCCUUUUGCCAUUGUAGACCGGACUCCAUUGACCACUUAUUCUUUGGCUGUAACCUCACGGGCUCCCUUGCCCUUUUUUGGGCAUCCAAAUGCGGCCUCUCCUGGCGCAAUAGACCAUGGCAAGACAAUCUUCAUUGGGCAAUCCGUUUUAUUGGGGGUAAUACUUU